GGGAGGCAGCAGUGGGGAAUCUUGCACAAUGGGCGAAAGCCUGAUGCAGCCAUGCCGCGUGAAUGAUGAAGGCCUUAGGGUUGUAAAAUUCUUUCGCUAGGGAUGAUAAUGACAGUACCUAGUAAAGAAGCCCCGGCUAACUUCGUGCCAGCAGCCGCGGUAAUACGAAGGGGGCUAGCGUUGUUCGGAAUUACUGGGCGUAAAGCGCGCGUAGGCGGACUGGAAAGUUGGGGGUGAAAUCCCAGGGCUCAACCCUGGAACUGCCUCCAAAACUAUCAGUCUAGAGUUCGAGAGAGGUGAGUGGAAUUCCGAGUGUAGAGGUGAAAUUCGUAGAUAUUCGGAAGAACACCAGUGGCGAAGGCGGCUCACUGGCUCGAUACUGACGCUGAGGUGCGAAAGUGUGGGGAGCAAACAGGAUUAGAUACCCUGGUAGUCCACGCCGUAAACGAUGGAAGCUAGCCGUCAGGUAGCAUGCUAUUUGGUGGCGCAGCUAACGCAUUAAGCUUCCCGCCUGGGGAGUACGGUCGCAAGAUUAAAACUCAA
rnacentral:rRNA from 1 species